rnacentral:tRNA from 1 species
GCGAGUCGUGAUGUUGGUUUCACAGCAAGUCUCAUAAGCUUGUGUACUAGAGUUCGAUUCUCUAACUUCGCU